GUGAGGAAUAUUGGUCAAUGGGCGGAAGCCUGAACCAGCCAAGUAGCGUGCGGGACGACGGCCCUAUGGGUUGUAAACCGCUUUUUCACGGGGAUAAAGUGCGCCACGCGUGGCGCUUUGCAGGUACCGUGCGAAUAAGGACCGGCUAAUUCCGUGCCAGCAGCCGCGGUAAUACGGAAGGUCCGGGCGUUAUCCGGAAUCAUUGGGUUUAAAGGGAGCGUAGGCCGCAUGUCAAGCGUGCUGUGAAAUCCCGGGGCUCAACCCCGGAAGCGCAGCGCGAACUGGCGUGCUUGAGUUGCAUCGAGGCAGGCGGAAUUCGUGGUGUAGCGGUGAAAUGCUUAGAUAUCACGAAGAACCCCGAUUGCGAAGGCAGCCUGCCAGUUGCACACUGACGCUGAUGCUCGAAGGCGCGGGUAUCGAACAGGAUUAGAAACCCCAGUAGUCC
rnacentral:rRNA from 1 species